UCAUCAAUCAUUUUAUGAUUCCUCUCCGUCAUCAUAAAAACGCAUUCCCGUUUAGGAAAAAAUUGCAACAAGUUACCAUGCACAGAGAGACCUUGAGAGGGAUAAAGAGAGAAAGAUCCGGAAAAUAAAGUCGCGAGUGAGAGAAUUGGCGCGUCUGAAUUG